rnacentral:tRNA from 1 species
CAGGGAGACAAAAACUGAUCGUGAUGUCUGAGUAAAUUUAAAUUCUUAGGCCAUGAUCCUGUCACCUUAGGUCGAUCGGUACCUCAGAUUUAAUUGGUAAUUAUGGCUAAAUGGUUUUAGUCAUUCCCUUUGAAUUUCAGUUCCUAAACUUGUCUAGGUCACACCCAACAAGGGUACUCCUGGGCCAUUAGCUCAGGUGGUUAGAGCGCACCCCUGAUAAGGGUGAGGUCCCUGGUUCAAGUCCAGGAUGGCCCAUUCGGUGUUGGGGGUAUAGCUCAGUUGGUAGAGCGCCUGCUUUGCAAGCAGGAUGUCAGCGGUUCGAGUCCGCUUACCUCCACUGAUCAACCUUACUAAUAGCCGAUCCAAGGAGAUUUUCUUGUUUGAUUUGAUUUAGACUUCGUUUUAUCUGAAUAAAUGAACCUGGCUUCCUUUCAUUCCUUUACUAGAAAAGUAUUAAGGUUGAAAAGAUGCUGGGCUCACAUGAAUCAUUUAACUGAUUGAUGUGUGUUCAGAAGAACCUUGACAACUGCAUAGGUGAGUCUGGAAAAAAUAAAGCAUCUCAUAGAUGCAUUUUCCAUAUAGAAAAACAACUUGUUCUACCAAGAUUUGUUUUUCUUGAUUGGAGAUGUUAAUUCUUGAGCAAUGAGUUGAUCCCUUUUUAUUUCUUGAAUCUAGCUUUUAUUUAAUUUCAAGUGAGAGCUAAUUGAUUUAAAAAAAGAAAAUAUCUAAAUAAAAGGGAUUAUAU